UUAUUUAUUUUGUCAAUGUACAUGACAAUAAAAAGAGAAUUUCCAGCUGCUGGAAAAUUAUUGUAAAAAUUGGAUAACACACACUCUAGCAGGCACACAAAAAAGGUCAGAUCGAAGUCACUUCAGCUAGAAAUGUGAACGGAGCUCCUGUCCUCUCUGGUGAGAUUCAAACCCGUUAUUCCACCCUGUCUGUCCACUUUCAAACGCCUUUUAUUUCAUAAACUAGCUGCCUGCAUCAUUUGCUGAAUGAACGGCAGAGA